CUGCAUGAAAUAAUCAUAACGGUCGCCAGCAGCUGUCUGAAAACAACUCCGACCACCUCCCACACCCACCCACUCCAUUCCCUCUCCAGUACCAUCAAGGUCCGAUUACCUGGGUUGGGCUGGCCUGUCCCUAAAGCCCAGCAGCACAUCUACUUUCAGGGUCUUGGGUAUCCUGAAGGGAGUAUAAAACAUGGCCUUUUAUUCUCUGGCUGGGGUUGGUUAUUUCAGAAACAAGUGGUUCUGGAAAUGCUGGAUGCUUUAUUAGAACAACCUGUGUGGUGCUCGUUGACAAUGGUGAUGACUCAUCUUUGUCCCUCCCUCCUGCAAAUAAACUCUAUCAAGACACAAGUAUGCCAUGUCAAGUGAUAGAGCUGGAGACCCACGCUGUGGGCCUCUUAUGCCCUGGUUCUAGAUAUAUUAGCAAGGAGUAUGACCUUCGGUAAAUCCUUUGCCCUCUCUGGACCUCAGUUUCCUUAUCUGAAAUGGGGUAUAAACAGAGCUAGACAAUCUGAUGGAGGGAGGAGUAGGUUUCUGAGGGAGACAGAGGUCUUUUUCCUUGUGAGACUAGAUCAGCCACAAAAUCAGCCUUAGCUUAUUAUGAAGAAAAUAGGAUGAACUUAAAAAAGAUAAGAAGCAAGAACGAUUGUAAAAAACAAGACGAAACAAAAAAACUAAUAAUUGGUACUAGAGUUACAGUAUGAAUAUUGUCCUCAUGCAGGCAAUUAGUAUACAUGGCUGUCCAGCUAUCUUUACGAUAAAGUUUUAAACUGUGCUUAAAAUAAUUACAUAUCUCACAUGUGGACCUUAAUUUUUUCUUUUGUUUUAACCUUCAAGCCUAGAGUGGAUGCUCGGUUGGACUGUUUGUUCUUGGUGCAGCCUUACUUGAAGAACGUCCCCAGGAUCUCUCGUUGCCAUAGGAUUAUAGAUUUCUUUCAGUCUGCCUGAUGCUGGGAUCCUUGUACCACCACACUUCUGUCUUCUUUUCCAUUCUGGCUUGAGAAGUGGUUAGCUGAUAUGUGACAUUUCUGAACUUCCCAGGUUUCUUUUCAAAUUGCAUAAGACUUGUGCCCUUCAGAUGAUAUAUUCUUGGUUGGCUCAGGCCAUUUGAUCAGGUUCCGGCUUUAUGUGGGCUGUGUCCUCAUUGCGAGGAAGGUUACCUUCAUUACAAGGGUUACCUUUAUUGGACUGCCUAUUUCCCGGCAUUCGAAGUCACAAGCCAUCUCCGCAGUGAGUCACUGCAGAAGACUCAGCUCUACCACUUUCUGCUGGAUGGUACCCCUUCAAGAGUGUUGCUGUUUUGUUGGCAGAACCAUCUGAUUUGUAUACUGGUUCAGUUUGGAUUUCAGUAGUCAAGAUCUAGAGAAGUUACCCAGCUAACACGCAGGUUUUGUGUUUCUGAUUCCUGUUUUCCUCAGAAGAAGAAGGUACUGUAGUCAUCGCUUGAGUCUGGAUGACCCGUCUGGCAGAGUAGAGGACUAAGAAGACUCCAGGGACCUAAGGAGAGGCUCCUGUCACUCAGCAGAAUAACUCAAGUCACCUCUUCCGAAAAUUAGUUUGCUGAAGCCAUUGAAACAGCCAUUGAAACAGCAGUUCUUGAAGUUGAAGAAAAGGAGUUUCUGCGCUUUGACCUGAGGACUGUGGCCCUUCCUGCAAAAUCCUCUCUGGACACGCCCUCCUAGCACCCCCUAGGAAAGAUGCGGCAGCUCAAAGGGAAGCCCAAGAAGGAGACGUCCAAGGACAAGAAGGAGCGGAAGCAGGCCAUGCAGGAGGCCCGGCAGCAGAUCACCACGGUGGUGCUGCCCACGCUGGCCGUGGUCGUGCUCCUGAUCGUAGUGUUCGUGUACGUGGCCACGCGCCCCACUGUCACCGAGUGAGUGCUGCGGGAGGGCAAAAGCAAGAGAAAAAUGGCUUUCAUAUUCAGAGAUUUUCCUGACGCUGAGCUCUUAAGCAGGAGCACCCUGUCUUCUCUGGUCUUUGACUUGAUUAAAGUUUUUCCACUUUUCUGGGAGGGGAUAGGGAGCGUUUUAUCAGUGAACGUGCCAUACACCUUAUGGUCCACUUCAUGUGCCUUUCAGACUUCAAAGCCGUGUGUGUGUGUUUCUUUUUCUCUCCUGAAAUCGUUGUGUAGCUCCACUUGGUGAGAGGAGGGAUCUCUGGAUCACGAAUGAAUAGGUUGGAACCAGUGCUCACUCCAUCCCCAUUGUUUUGAACAUGACUUUCCUACAUGUCAUUCACAAUUUCCAAAGGGACUGUAUUUCUUCUCUGUGCUUAAUGUGAUUUGAAAUUUGUUGACUCAAAAGUGAAAUAUUUAUUUUUUGAAUAAAGGAGAUAAUAGCCUUAAA